rnacentral:rRNA from 1 species
CAGCCGCCGCGGGAAUACGUAGGUGGCAAGCGUUAUCCGGAAUUAUUGGGCGUAAAGCGCGCGUAGGCGGUUUUUUAAGUCUGAUGUGAAAGCCCACGGCUCAACCGUGGAGGGUCAUUGGAAACUGGAAAACUUGAGUGCAGAAGAGGAAAGUGGAAUUCCACGUGUAGCGGUGAAAUGCGUAGAGAUGUGGAGGAACACCAGUGGCGAAGGCGACUCUCUGGUCUGUAACUGACGCUGAGGAGCGAAAGCGUGGGGAGCGAACAGGAUUAGAUACCCGCGUAGUCCCUGUCUUUAUACA